rnacentral:rRNA from 1 species
UACAGAGGGUGCGAGCGUUAAUCGGAAUUACUGGGCGUAAAGCGCGCGUAGGCGGCUUUGCAAGUCGGGUGUGAAAUCCCCAGGCUUAACCUGGGAACUGCAUUCGAGACUGCAUUGCUAGAGUAUGGGAGAGGGAAGUGGAAUUUCCGGUGUAGCGGUGGAAUGCGUAGAUAUCGGAAGGAACAUCAGUGGCGAAAGCGACUUCCUGGACCAAUACUGACGCUCAUGUGCGAAAGCGUGGGGAGCAAACAGG